rnacentral:rRNA from 1 species
UGAAUUGACGGGGCCGCACAAGCGGAGGAACAUGUGGUUUAAUUCGAUGAUACGCGAGGAACCUUACCUGGGCUUAAAUGUAGAGUGCAUGAGGUAGAAAUACUUCUUUUCUUCGGAACUCUCUGCAAGGUGCUGCAUGGUUGUCGUCAGCUCGUGCCGUGAGGUGUCGGGUUAAGUCCCAUAACGAGCGCAACCCUUAUCGUUAGUUGCCAGCGGGUAAUGCCGGGGACUCUAGCGAAACUGCCGGUGUAAACCGAGAGGAAGGUGGGGAUGACGUCAAAUCAGCACGGCCCUUAUGUCCAGGGCUACACACGUGUUACAAUGGCCGGUACAGAGGGCAGCUACCUGGAGACAGGAUGCGAAUCUCGAAAGCCGGUCCCAGUUCGGAUCGGAGUCUGCAACUCGACUCCGUGAAGCUGGAUUCGCUAGUAAUCGCGCAUCAGCCAUGGCGCGGUGAAUACGUUCCCGGGCCUU